rnacentral:rRNA from 1 species
UACGUAGGGUGCGAGCGUUAAUCGGAAUUACUGGGCGUAAAGCGUGCGUAGGCGGCCCCGCAAGUCCGCUGUGAAAGCCCCGAGCUCAACUUGGGAACUGCAGUGGAAACUAUGGGACUUGAAUCCGGCAGAGGGGGGUGGAAUGCCACGUGUAGCAGUGAAAUGCGUAGAGAUGUGGCGGAACACCGAUGGCGAAGGCAGCCCCCUGGGCUGAGAUUGACGCUCAGGCACGAAAGCGUGGGGAGCAAACAGG